GCAGCCCACAAUAAAAACUCUCUGUUUCACAAUUCAAGAACGAAACAACCCUUGAUAUUCUCUCUCUUCUUUUCCUUCCUUCCUUCCGUCUAUUUAGCGUGAAUUUUACCUUCAAAAUUCUCAUUAAUUUUCUCUCUCUUUCUUUCGCUUUCUCUCUCCUCCUUUUGGCGGGACCUUUUGAAUUCAUUCCCCUAAUUUUGUUUCUAUUUUUACACUAAAUAUUCUCUCUCUCAUCAAUAUUCCUUCAUGAACCCUAAUUUCUAAUACCCUUUUUAUUUUCUGAAAUUCGAAAUUGAAUCAAUUUCGUAGUAAUGGGAGAAAAAGGUGAGAAUGGGGUUGUUGCUGAACCCAAAUUGGAAGAAAAUUUAGAGGGAGAAGAUGUUGCUGAACCUAAAUUGAAAGAAGAUUUAGAGGGAAAAGAUGGUGAUAAUAAUGAUAAAGAGAAUCAUGAAGAAGUAAUUCCGAUUGAAGAGAGAUGCGAUAGAAAUGACGGAAAAGGUUGGCGGUGUAAGCUUCGCAAAUUGGAUGAUGACAAAUUGUGUCAGAUGCACUUUGAUCAGAAGAAUAAGGCUAAAAAGGGUUAUUCUAAAAAGGGUCCUUCUAAUACUGAGAAGGAUGAUGAUGAUGAAGAUGAUGAACCAAUUAUAAAGGCAUUUCAGAAGAAAAAAGCUGAAUUAGUUGAAGUAAAAAGUGCCCAGAAAAAAAUUAAUGUGAAAGUUGACCCAGAUGAAGGUGAAGAGAAAAGCGUCGAGAAAGUAAUGGAAGUUAAAGAGGAGAAGAGUGAGACUGUGAUUCCGGAGAAAAGGGGUGGUGAGAGUAUUGGAAUAGUUGCAGAAGAAAUUCCUGGAAAAAUCUCACAAGUUCCUGAAGAUAACACAAUAAAAUCCGAGAAAAGCUUAGAAAUUUCUGAAGAAAAACAGGAGGAAAUCCCAGAUAAUUCAGAGAAAAACCAGUUAAAAUUGGAGAAGGAUGGAGAAGAGGAUGCUGAAAUCAAAGUUCCUAAGAAAAGGGGUCGUAAGAGGAUUAUAAAAGUUGCAGAAGAAAAUCCUGAGAAAACCCCAGAAAAAUUGGAGCAAGAUGGAGAAGGGGAUAAAGAAGCUGAAGUUUCGAAGAAAAGGGUUCGAGAUGAUGCGGAGAAAGGCCAUUACAGUGAAGUAAUUGUUAGUGAUGACAAUGGUUUGGCUAGGAGGAGUAAGCGUAGCGGUACGCGUAAGAGUAAUUAUGGAGAAGAUGAUGCAGUGCGUGUGUAUUUUGAGGAAGAUGAGAUGGAGCAGAAGAGCAAGAAACGGCGAAAGGGUGGGAGGAAACCGAAGGGCAAUAAGGCUGCUGUUAAGGGUGUUGAAGAAGAAGAAGAGGAGGAUAAUGGUACAGAGGUUGACACUAAGCCAAUUGGUGGGAAGAAGAAAAGGGCAGAGAAGAGCACACCAGGUGUUUGUGAAAAUGAUGAUGAGAAGCAUGGAGAUGGGGAUGAUGGCGAGGCGGUUGUGAGUAAGCAAAGCCGUGGAAAGAGGGGAAAGAAGAAAGUGGUGGAGAAAGGCACACCAAGUCUUUGUGAAAAUGUCGCUGAGGAAAAAGAUGUGGAGAAAGACACAAGUAGAGCGGGAAGGCAAACUAGGACUUGUAGGAACAAGCCUCUUGUUGCAAUUCCGGAGAAAAAAUUGAAGCCAGAUAAAGCUUAUGAUGAGAAUGGAAUCAAGAUCGAUUCGGAUAUGUGUCAUCAGUGCCAGAGGAAUGAUAAGGGACGAGUUGUGAGGUGCACCAACUGCAAGACCAAACGAUUUUGCAUUCCCUGCAUAGGAAACUGGUAUCCACAAAUGACAGAGGAGCAAAUUGCUCAGGCUUGCCCUGUCUGUCUACAGAACUGCAAUUGCAAGUCAUGCUUGAGAAUGGAGGGACCUAUUAAGAAUCAAAUGAAGGAUGAAUUCAAAGUUAAAUGUGAAGAGAAGUUUGAGCAUGCCAUGAACACGUUGAUGACUAUAUUUCCAUUUUUAAAUGAAUUUAACCAAGAACAGGUGACAGAAAAGGAAAUAGAAGCCAAAAUUCAGGGUGUGUCAAUAUCUGAAGUCAUGGUCCCAGCAGCAUCUGUUGCUAAAAAUGAGCGUGUAUACUGUGACAACUGCAAAACCUCAAUUGCUGAUUUUCUUAGAAGCUGUCCUGCAUGUGGAUAUGAUUUGUGUCUCACUUGCUGCCGGGAAAUUCGUGCUGGACAGCUGCAGGGUCGUGAAGAGGUGGUAAUGGAUUUUGUUUACAGGGGUUUUGAAUAUUUACACGGUGAACAAUCUGAAGGAACUAAUGGAGGUGAAGCUGCUUCUGUUUCAAAAAGAACUAGAAGGCAAAAACCUUGUGUUGAAUCAGAGAAAACUACUUCAGGCACUGAUGCCCUUGCUCGAUCAGAGAGGACUAUCGGAAGCAAUUCUCCCGGGGUACAACUUGUAAAAAAUAAGGGAAAGCUUGAAUGGAAGGCAGAUGCAAAUGGCAGUAUAAGUUGUCCCCCAUCAGAGCAUGGGGGAUGUGGUUCACUGCUUGAAUUAAAUUCUAUCUUGUCAGAUGGUUGGGUUUCUGAAAUGGUGAAGGAAGCGGAGGAGGCAUUAGCAAAGUGUGGACAUAAGAAUUCACCCCAAACUCUUAGUGAGUGCUCUUGUUCUGAUUCUGUAUGCAAUGGUGAAUGUGGAAGUGCUUUGAGGAAAUGUGCUUCAAGAGAAGGCUCCAGUGACAAUUUUUUGUAUUGUCCGGAUGCCAGAGAUAUAAAACAUGGUGAUUUGAAACACUUUCAGUUCCACUGGGCUCGUGGAGAACCAAUAAUUGUUAGGAGUGUGCUUGAAACUACCCCUGGCUUAAGUUGGGAACCUAUGGUAAUGUGGCGUGCUGUUCGUCAAAUUCAGAACACAAAGCAUUCCACGUUAUUGGAUGUGAAAGCUAUUGAUUGCUUGGAUUGGUGUGAGGUUGAUGUCAAUGUUCACCAAUUCUUCAAAGGGUAUUCAAAAUGUCAAUUUGAUCGUUCAGAUUGGCCUGUGAUACUGAAGUUGAAAGAUUGGCCACAUACUAGUAAAUUUGAAAAGCAUCUGCCACGCCAUGGUGCUGAAUUUAUUCGAGCAUUGCCAUUUAAGGAGUAUACACAUCCACGGAAAGGAGUUCUUAAUCUAGCUACCAAAUUGCCUAGGGGAACUUUGAUGCCAGACAUGGGGCCAAAGACCUACAUAGCUUAUGGACUGCAUGAAGAAUUAGGUCGUGGUGACUCUGUUACGAAGCUGCACUGUGAUAUGUCUGACGCGGUCAAUAUUUUGGCACAUACUACAGAAGUUGCAGUGCCUACAGAUAAUCGUAAGGCCAUUUCUAAAUUAAAAAAGCAGCAUUUUGCUCAGGAUCAAAAGGAAAUUUUUGGUGUUGAGCCCAAGGUUUCUAAGGGGGUUGAUGGGUCUGGGGUAAAGAAACUUCAUGAUGGUGGCAGGGUGAUAGAAGGUGAUACCAAGUGCUUAGAUACAAUGGAUAUUGAAGCAGGAACAAAGGUCAAGGUAAUUCCAUGUAAUCUAAAUGGUAAUGAAGUUGUAGCCUGUGAAGGUGUUGACAUGGAUCUCGAUAUGCCUACAACUGUACAAACAAGUAAUGAUGUUGCUGUUGAGCACAAGAACACUGUGAAGAGUAGGGUUUACAAUAAAAGAAAAAAGAGGCAAUCUAAGAUUCCUGAUGGCCAUGAAACAGAACCCGAAUUGUCUAAGAUCUCUACUGAAGGGGAGAACAUUGUGCUAGAUGCUCAAAAAGGUUAUCCUGAUAAGGAUAUGGAAACUAGGGAUAAUGGAACUUCAGCUCCUCCAUCUGAGAACUUAGAAGGUUCAGAACCUCAUAGUGGAGGUGCGCUUUGGGACAUCUUUCGGAGAGAAGAUGUCCCUAUGCUGCAAGAAUAUUUAAGGAGACAUUAUCAAGAAUUCAGGCAUAUUCAUUGUAAUCCACUGAAGCAGGUCAUACAUCCUAUUCAUGAUCAGACAUUUUACCUUACUGAGGAGCACAAAAGGAAGCUGAAAGAAGAAUAUGGAAUUGAAGCUUGGACAUUUGUGCAAAAUCUUGGAGAGGCAGUCUUUAUUCCAACUGGAUGUCCUCAUCAAGUUAGAAACCUAAAGUCAUGUAUAAAAGUUGCGCUUGAUUUCGUGUCCCCUGAGAAUGUUGGCGAGUGUAUGCGCCUGGCUGGGGAGUUCCGGGCUCUACCUCAAAAUCACAAGGCCAAGGAGGAUAAGUUGGAGGUGAAGAAAAUGACUCUCUAUGCCAUGAAGGCGGCUUUAAAAAAAUUAAGUGGGUCUGAAAUCUGAAGGUUGUUCCUCUGUAUACAAAAUACUUUGGGAAAUUCUACAUGGUGACCCUAAGUUUCGACCUAAUCUAUACGCGAAUCCUCGAUUUUGACGCUCUGAUCAUCUCUAAACCUUCCCUCCAGCUCCUCCAAUCACAAUUCUCGGCGCCGCCAUCGCAACCUCCUUUUUACGAAUUGAGUCUACAAAACCUUCAUUCUCGAAUCGAAUAGCAGAUAAACCCUAACUUAUCUGCAAUUGAAAUCAAAGCGUGAAAUUAAGCGCAUUUGUCGAUUUAAGCGUAAAUUGAGGAGGAGAAACCCUAAAUAUUUGGGGAUCAAUUGAAGACAGAAGAGAGGAAGAGAAUGAGAUGAAAUGGGAGUACGAGUACACAAUUUCAUCUUCAUGGUUUGUAUUGCCUUUUGACGACUGUCAAAGCCGCAAUGUGUGUGAGUAUCAUGAU